AUCGCUUCUUCGGCUUAUUAGCUAAGAUCAAAGUGUAGUAUCUGUUCUUAUCCUAUUAACCUACGGUAUACACUCAAAUGAGUGUAAUAAAGGUUACCGUAAAACCUAUAAUAGAAGAACCCCUAUAAUUAAAGGACCCCUA
rnacentral:snRNA from 16 species